GUAGCGGCGAGCGAAACGGGAAAAGCCCAAACCAGCAAGCUUGCUUGUUGGGGUUGUAGGACUCCAAUAUGGUAGUUCUUUCAGAUAGUCGAAUGACUUGGAAAAGUCAGUCAAAGAGGGUAAAAACCCCGUAGACGAAAUGUGGAAGACACCUAGGAGGAUCCUGAGUACGGCGGAACACGAGAAAUUCCGUCGGAAUCCGGGAGGACCAUCUCCCAAGGCUAAAUACUCCCUAGUGACCGAUAGUGAACCAGUACCGUGAGGGAAAGGUGAAAAGCACCCCGGAAGGGGAGUGAAAUAGAACCUGAAACCGUGUGCCUACAACAAGUCAAAGCCCGUUAAUGGGUGAUGGCGUGCCUUUUGUAGAAUGAACCGGCGAGUUACGAUUGCAUGCGAGGUUAAGUUGAAGAGACGGAGCCGCAGCGAAAGCGAGUCUGAAUAGGGCGUUUGAGUAUGUAGUCGUAGACCCGAAACCAUGUGAUCUACCCAUGUCCAGGUUGAAGGUGCGGUAAAACGCACUGGAGGACCGAACCCACGUACGUUGAAAAGUGCGGGGAUGAGGUGUGGGUAGCGGAGAAAUUCCAAACGAACUUGGAGAUAGCUGGUUCUCUCCGAAAUAGCUUUAGGGCUAGCCUCGGAAUUGAGAAUGAUGGAGGUAGAGCACUGUUUGGACUAGGGGCCCAUCUCGGGUUACCGAAUUCAGAUAAACUCCGAAUGCCAUUCAUUCAUAUCCGGGAGUCAGACUGUGAGUGAUAAGAUCCAUAGUCGAAAGGGAAACAGCCCAGACCACCAGCUAAGGUCCCAAAAUAUAUGUUAAGUGGAAAAGGAUGUGGGGUUGCACAGACAACUAGG
rnacentral:rRNA from 1 species